ACUGGUCUCAAAGACAAUGACGGCGUCCGUGGGACCCUCGGUGCAACGAGCUUUUAGGAGCACGCGUCGAGUUUAAGGACCUUCCGGGCCGGUCUUCCUCCCACUCUUUCUCAGGUUGACCUCGGAUCAGGUAGGAAUACCCGCUGAACUUAAGCAUAUCAAUAAGCGGAGGAAAAGAAACCAACAGGGAUUGCCUCAGUAACGGCGAGUGAAGCGGCAACAGCUCAAAUUUGAAAUCUGGUCUUACGGCCCGAGUUGUAAUUUGGAGAGGAUGUUUUGGGCACCGCUGCGGUUUAAAUUUCUUGGAACAGAAUGUCAGAGAGGGUGAGAGUCCCGUCUUGGACCGCAGUAGGGUCUGUGUAAAACUCCUUCGACGAGUCGACUCGUUUGGGAAUGCAGGUCAAAAUGGGUGGUAAAUUUCAUCUAAAGCUAAAUAUUGGCCAGAGACCGAUAGCGCACAAGUAGAGUGAUCGAAAGAUGAAAAGCACUUUGAAAAGAGAGUUAAACAGUAUGUGAAAUUGUUGAAAGGGAAGCGCUGGCAACCAGACUCGUGCGCGGGGUUCCCCCUUGCUUUUGCUUGGGUCACUUCCCCGUGUCCGGGCCAUCACCAGUUUGGAGGGCCGGUCAAAGGCCCCGGGAAUGUAUCCACGCCUUCGGGGGUGGACUUAUAGCCCGGGGUGUCAUGCGGCCACUCGGGACUGAGGCACGCGCUUCGGCGAGGAUGAUGGCGUAAUGGUUGUCAGCGAC
rnacentral:rRNA from 1 species